rnacentral:lncRNA from 1 species
UUUCCUCUACAGUUUUUCAUAAUAGUUCUUUCAACCCAAGUAAUGGUGAUGGAUAUAUUUAUGGAAGUGGUGGCGUCAUUAGCAUAAUAGUUUUUAGCAAAGAUAUUACUGAUAUAAACAAUUUUGAUAUAUACGUAUCUAUCGCUUAUUACAUACACAACACAUCACAAGGAACUUCGAAUGUGACUUUUUACGUAAAUGGUGAAAGUGAUUCUUAUUACAUCUAUAGCACAUCCACCUGGAAUGUAUUUAAUAAAAGAUAUACUUUUACAAAUUCUGAUUUGAAUUUCACUUUGAGUGCGUCCGGUGGGUUCAUGAGGUUUGAUGAUCUAUGCAUUUAUCAAGG